GAGCCCGAAGCAAUUCGAGCCAUUAAGAGAAAGAAAAAGGAGCCGAGCAGAGGAGCCUGGAAGCUGAGGCGAAGCUAAUCCCUGACAGACAGACAGACUCACUUUGCCUCUUGGCCCAUCUCCACAGAUGCUGGGCAGACACACUCCUGCCUUGCAAGAGCAAAUUAAGAAUGCCAUUGGAUCCAUCAGAGUUUUGAGAAAUGACUUAAGGGAGGAAGACCUUAUUUUGACUCAUGGUUUCACAGGACUUAGUCCAUGGUCACUUCGGGUCCCUCAUCUCUGGACCCACAGCAAGAUGGAGCAUCGAGGUAAAGGUUGCAGCAUAGAGAGCUACGCACUGAUGGUUGCUAGGAAGAGACUGGGGACCAGAUGAACUUCAAAGGUGAUCUGUGACCUAACUGCUCCAGCUUCACUUCCGAGCUGCUUCUACCUCUCAAUGGGGCCUUCAUAUUAUGAAUGCAGCAAUAAAUUCAUCCACCGAUUA
rnacentral:lncRNA from 1 species